UCUAGCGCUAUAAAUAGUCAAGGGCAUCUCUAGAUUGUUCAUCCUUUGAGAUCUUUUUUGACGGCGUUCGUGAGGUAGAAGAACAUCGAUCGUCGUGAUGAGGGCUAAGUGGAAGAAGAAGCGCAUGAGGAGACUUAAGAGGAAGCGCCGAAAGAUGAGGCAGAGAUCUAAGUAGGAAUUUUCUUGUGGGGUUAUUAUCAGCUGUUUUAAUGAGAGGAUUUAGGCUACUAGUUAUUUGUUUUGUACUCUUUGCAUUAGCGAACAAUUGCAAUUUGCACUAUAUUAUGUAAUGUAAUUGCUUUGACAAUUUUGCUUAUUUCACUACCUUUAUGUUUCAACUCAUUGGAUGCCU